rnacentral:rRNA from 1 species
UACGUAGGGGGCAAGCGUUGUCCGGAAUUAUUGGGCGUAAAGCGCGCGUGGGCGGCCAGAUUAGUCCGGUGUGAAAGUCAGAGGCUCAACCUUUGAAUGCCGCUGGAAACUGUCUGGCUUGAGUCCGGAAGGGGCGAGUGGAAUUCCUGGUGUAGCGGUGAAAUGCGCAGAUAUCAGGAGGAACACCAAUGGCGAAGGCAGCUCGCUGGAACGGUACUGACGCUGAGGCGCGAAAGCGUGGGGAGCAAACAGG